GUGGGUAGUUUGACUGGGGCGGUCUCCUCCUAAAGAGUAACGGAGGAGCACGAAGGUUGGCUAAUCCUGGUCGGACAUCAGGAGGUUAGUGCAAUGGCAUAAGCCAGCUUGACUGCGAGCGUGACGGCGCGAGCAGGUGCGAAAGCAGGUCAUAGUGAUCCGGUGGUUCUGAAUGGAAGGGCCAUCGCUCAACGGAUAAAAGGUACUCCGGGGAUAACAGGCUGAUACCGCCCAAGAGUUCAUAUCGACGGCGGUGUUUGGCACCUCGAUGUCGGCUCAUCACAUCCUGGGGCUGAAGUAGGUCCCAAGGGUAUGGCUGUUCGCCAUUUAAAGUGGUACGCGAGCUGGGUUUAGAACGUCGUGA
rnacentral:rRNA from 1 species